CCUACGGGAGGCAGCAGUAAGGAAUAUUGGUCAAUGGAGGCAACUCUGAACCAGCCAUGCCGCGUGCAGGAUGACGGCCCUAUGGGUUGUAAACUGCUUUUAUACAAGAGAAAACCCUGGUACGUGUACCAGGUUGAUAGUAUUGUAAGAAUAAGCAUCGGCUAACUUCGUGCCAGCAGCCGCGGUAAGACGAAGGAUGCAAGCGUUAUCCGGAUUCAUUGGGUUUAAAGGGUGCGUAGGCGGACUGAUAAGUCAGUGGUGAAAUCUCUUUGCUUAACAAAGAAACUGCCAUUGAUACUGUCGGUCUAGAGUAUAGAUGACGUUGGCGGAAUAUGACAUGUAGUGGUGAAAUACUUAGAUAUGUCAUAGAACACCGAUUGCGAAGGCAGCUAACGAAACUAUAACUGACGCUGAGGCACGAAAGUGCGGGGAUCAAACAGGAUUAGAUACCCUGGUAGUCCGCACCGUAAACGAUAGAUUACUCGUUGUUGGCGAUAUGACAGUCAGCGACCAAGCGAAAGCGANAAGUAAUCCACCUGGGGAGUACGCCGNAAACGGUGAAACUNAANAGAGUAGAGAGAGAGAGNGCGAGGACGACGACGAGGGGAGGAGG
rnacentral:rRNA from 1 species